CGGGGCGUAGCGCAGUGGCUAGCGCACUCGCUUGGGGUGCGAGGGGUCGGAGGUUCAAUUCCUCUCGCCCCGACCA
rnacentral:tRNA from 1 species